CGAGCGGAUGAAGGGAGCUUGCUCCUGGAUUCAGCGGCGGACGGGUGAGUAAUGCUUAGGAAUCUGCCUAUUAGUGGGGGACAACAUUUCGAAAGGGAUGCUAAUACCGCAUACGCCCUACGGGGGAAAGCAGGGGAUCUUCGGACCUUGCGCUAAUAGAUGAGCCUAAGUCAGAUUAGCUAGUUGGUGGGGUAAAGGCCUACCAAGGCGACGAUCUGUAGCGGGUCUGAGAGGAUGAUCCGCCACACUGGGACUGAGACACGGCCCAGACUCCUACGGGAGGCAGCAGUGGGGAAUAUUGGACAAUGGGGGGAACCCUGAUCCAGCCAUGCCGCGUGUGUGAAGAAGGCCUUUUGGUUGUAAAGCACUUUAAGCGAGGAGGAGGCUCUUCUAGUUAAUACCUAGGAUGAGUGGACGUUACUCGCAGAAUAAGCACCGGCUAACUCUGUGCCAGCAGCCGCGGUAAUACAGAGGGUGCGAGCGUUAAUCGGAUUUACUGGGCGUAAAGCGUACGUAGGCGGCUUUUUAAGUCGGAUGUGAAAUCCCUGAGCUUAACUUAGGAAUUGCAUUCGAUACUGGGAAGCUAGAGUAUGGGAGAGGAUGGUAGAAUUCCAGGUGUAGCGGUGAAAUGCGUAGAGAUCUGGAGGAAUACCGAUGGCGAAGGCAGCCAUCUGGCCUAAUACUGACGCUGAGGUACGAAAGCAUGGGGAGCAAACAGGAUUAGAUACCCUGGUAGUCCAUGCCGUAAACGAUGUCUACUAGCCGUUGGGGCCUUUGAGCUUUAGUGGCGCAGCUAACGCGAUAAGUAGACCGCCUGGGGAGUACGUCGCAAGACUAAAACUCAAAUGAAUUGACGGGGGCCCGCACAAGCGGUGGAGCAUGUGGUUUAAUUCGAUGCAACGCGAAGAACCUUACCUGGUCUUGACAUAGUAAGAACUUUCCAGAGAUGGAUUGGUGCCUUCGGGAACUUACAUACAGGUGCUGCAAUGGCUGUCCCAGCUCGUGUCGUGAGAUGUUGGGUUAAGUCCCGCAACGAGCGCAACCCUUUUCCUUAUUUGCCAGCGGUUCGGCCGGGAACUUUAAGGAUACUGCCAGUGACAAACUGGAGGAAGGCGGGGACGACGUCAAGUCAUCAUGGCCCUUACGACCAGGGCUACACACGUGCUACAAUGGUCGGUACAAAGGGUUGCUACCUCGCGAGAGGAUGCUAAUCUCAAAAAGCCGAUCGUAGUCCGGAUUGGAGUCUGCAACUCGACUCCAUGAAGUCGGAAUCGCUAGUAAUCGCGGAUCAGAAUGCCGCGGUGAAUACGUUCCCGGGCCUUGUACACACCGCCCGUCACACCAUGGGAGUUUGUUGCACCAGAAGUAGGUAGUCUAAC
rnacentral:rRNA from 1 species